rnacentral:piRNA from 1 species
UCUAAUUCUGACACUACUUCUCUUGCCUCCC